CCUACGGGUGGCAGCCGUGGGGAAUAUUGCACAAUGGGGGAAACCCUGAUGCAGCGACGCCGCGUGAGCGAAGAAGUAUUUCGGUAUGUAAAGCUCUAUCAGCAGGGAAGAAAAUGACGGUACCUGAGUAAGAAGCUCCGGCUAAAUACGUGCCAGCAGCCGCGGUAAUACGUCUGGAGCAAGCGUUAUCCGGAUUUACUGGGUGUAAAGGGAGCGCAGGCGGCCUUGCAAGUCUGAUGUGAAAUACUGGGGUUCAACCCCGGAGCUGCAUUGGAAACUGUGAGGCUGGAGUGUCGGAGAGGCAGGCGGAAUUCGUAGUGUAGCGGUGAAAUGCGUAGAUAUUAGGAGGAACACCAGUUGCGAAGGCGGCCUGCUGGACGAUGACUGACGCUGAGGCUCGAAAGCGUGGGGAGCAAACAGGAUUAGAUACCCCGGUAGUC
rnacentral:rRNA from 1 species